UACGUAGGAUGCAAGCGUUGUCCGGAUUUAUUGGGUUUAAGGGGUGCGUAGGCGGCCUAUUAAGUUAGUGGUGAAAACGUUCGGCUUAACCGGAUACCCGCCAUUGAUACUGAUAGACUUGAGUGCGACAGAGGGUGUUGGAAUGUGUGGUGUAGCGGUGAAAUGCUUAGAUAUCACGCAGAACACCAAUUGCGAAGGCAGAUGCCUAUGUCGUAACUGACGCUGAGGCACGAGAGCGUGGGGAGGAAACAGG
rnacentral:rRNA from 1 species